CGAAAUGCGAUAAGUAAUGUGAAUUGCAGAUUUCAGUGAAUCAUCGAAUCUUUGAACGCACCUUGCA
rnacentral:rRNA from 1 species